rnacentral:rRNA from 1 species
CAGUCGCCGCGGGAAUACGUAGGGUGCAAGCGUUAAUCGGAAUUACUGGGCGUAAAGCGUGCGCAGGCGGUGAUGUAAGACAGUUGUGAAAUCCCCGGGCUCAACCUGGGAACUGCAUCUGUUACUGCAUCGCUGGAGUGCGGCAGAGGGGGAUGGAAUUCCGCGUGUAGCAGUGAAAUGCGUAGAUAUGCGGAGGAACACCGAUGGCGAAGGCAAUCCCCUGGGCCUGCACUGACGCUCAUGCACGAAAGCGUGGGGAGCAAACAGGAUUAGAUACCCCCGUAGUCCCUGUCUCUUAUAC